GGAGAGUGCAUGAGUAUUUAGAUCUACAAUUCACACAAGGAAUGAUUUCGGCAUGUCUAGGAGAGUCAGAGAAAAGACGGGAGGGAAAUGGGGGAGAAAGAAAAACGUGAGAGAACCUUCUACUUCCUGAAAGGCACCAUGACUCUGGAAUGUUACCUGUAAUUAAGAAUGUCAGAAGAACCGAGCCUCCAUUCUAAAGUUUCUGUGGUGAAGUCAUCUGUAUUUCCUAGGUCAGUAAACCCAACAACAUAAUCUUGUGUUUUCCCAUCUUUUAGCAGUGCUAGUGUGGGAAUGACUUUGAUAUGCAGUCUCUCACAAAGGAAAGGUGCUUUUUCCACAUUCAGCUUCAAAAAUUUGGUCUCGAGGUGUUUCUUGGACAAUAUUGCCAGAUGUCUGUCUAGUAUUUUAC
rnacentral:lncRNA from 1 species